rnacentral:rRNA from 1 species
GAUGAACGCUGGCGGCGUGCCUAAUACAUGCAAGUCGAGCGAACGGACGAGAAGCUUGCUUCUCUGAUGUUAGCGGCGGACGGGUGAGUAACACGUGGAUAACCUACCUAUAAGACUGGGAUAACUUCGGGAAACCGGAGCUAAUACCGGAUAAUAUUUUGAACCGCAUGGUUCAAAAGUUAAAGACGGUCUUGCUGUCACUUAUAGAUGGAUCCGCGCUGCAUUAGCUAGUUGGUAAGGUAACGGCUUACCAAGGCAACGAUGCAUAGCCGACCUGAGAGGGUGAUCGGCCACACUGGAACUGAGACACGGUCCAGACUCCUACGGGAGGCAGCAGUAGGGAAUCUUCCGCAAUGGGCGAAAGCCUGACGGAGCAACGCCGCGUGAGUGAUGAAGGUCUUCGGAUCGUAAAACUCUGUUAUUAGGGAAGAACAUAUGUGUAAGUAACUGUGCACAUCUUGACGGUACCUAAGCAGAAAGCCACGGCAAACUACGU